GUGUCAGCCGCCGCGGUAAUACGUAGGGGGCGAGCGUUGUCCGGAAUCAUUGGGCGUAAAGAGCGUGUAGGCGGACUGGAAGGUCUGGUGUGAAAGCCCGGGGCUCAACCCCGGAGGGUCACCGGAAACCGACAGUCUUGAAUCUGGAAGAGGAGAGUGGAAUUCCUGGUGUAGCGGUGGAAUGCGCAGAUAUCAGGAGGAACACCAAUGGCGAAGGCAGCUCUCUGGUACAUGAUUGACGCUGAGACGCGAAAGCGUGGGGAGCGAACAGGAUUAGAUACCCCGGUAGUCC
rnacentral:rRNA from 1 species